ACUUUGCCCCUACCUUGGUCUCUCCAAGCCGAACACAAAUGGACCAGUGAGGAAACUGCAGGAAGAAAGAAAGGGGCUGAGUGACGGAGCCAGCCAGAGGGUGAAAGAAGCUGAAGGGACUAGAACGUCGCAGCACGAAACAUGGCCUGGCUGACAUUUUCCGAUCCUGUCCAGCUUCUGUGAAACACUCCCUCUCCGUUUCUCUACCCUGGGC
rnacentral:lncRNA from 1 species